GAACGAGAGUAACUGUGACUAAUCCCAGGACUGAGGCAACUCAUCUCAGGUCCUGGGCACUGGAAACACUGCUAGAUCUCAGGAGAGGAAAUACUCCUUACGUUUGAACAAGGAUUUGCAGAAUCUACUGGGAUGAAGGCAUGAGUGGAGGUCAAAGUGUCAGCUGAAAUACUGACUCUGGCAAUAAGCCAUGGAAAUACAUACAAAAUAAUUAUGUGUUGAACAAAAGAAUGACUGAAUGUUUGCCAUGAGGACAGGAACAGUUCUGAAAACCACUGCCUCAUGAAUCUAUCCUACAUGAUAAUCAUGCAAAUUCCCCAAAAAGGGACAAAUCCAUGACAAAUAGAAGCUUCCCAAGGCACAGGACACACUCAUGGAGAAGCAACAGAGUUCUUCCAAAAUGAGUACAGAAGCCUGCAGCAAGCUGCCAACUGCGGAAGGGAAAAGUGGAUUAUUUCGUCACUACUCUCAAAAGUUACAAAAUUUGCUGAAAAAGGCUUGAACCUCUACCUUGUACUGGGAAUCACUGACACUCCUAGAAAAUGAGUUGAGAUGAAUAGAAGGAGAGAGGCACUGACUGUAGGCAAGUUUACUAAGAGCAGCUCUCUCAAGAUUCUCCACUGCCCACUUUUCAAAAAGAUCUGUAGAGCAAGUAGGACCCUUGUAAUGUUUACCCUGGUAGUUUAGCAGGAAGUGUAUGGUUAC